rnacentral:rRNA from 1 species
UGCGCCUUGCCAGCCCGCUCAGAAACUUAAAUGAAUUGACGGGGGCCCGCACAAGCGGUGGAGUAUGUGGUUUAAUUCGAUGCAACGCGAAGAACCUUACCUGGUCUUGACAUCCCGGAGACCCUUAGGAAACUAGGGGGUGCUUCCAUCUGGAAGAAUCUGGAGACAGGUGCUGCAUGGCUGUCGUCAGCCCGUGUCGUGAGAUGUUGGGUUAAGUCCCGCAACGAGCGCAACCCUUGCCUUUAGUUGCCAGCAGUUCGGCUGGGCACUCUAAAGGGACUGCCGGUGUUAAACCGGGGGAAGGUGGGGAUGACGUCAAGUCCUCAUGGCCUUUAUGACCAGGGCUACACACGUACUACAAUGGCCGAUACAAAGGGCAGCGACACUGCGAGGUGAAGCCAAUCCCGUAAAAUCGGUCUCAGUCCGGAUUGGAGUCUGUAACUCGACUCCAUGAAGUUGGAAUCGCUAGUAAUCGUGGAUCAGCAUGCCACGGUGAAUACGUUCCCGGGCCUU